UGCCAGCACCCCGAGUGGUCGGGACGUUUAUUGGGCCUAAAGCAUCCGUAGCCGGUUCUACAAGUCUUCCGUUAAAUCCAGCUGCUUAACAGAUGGGCUGCGGAAGAUACUAUGGAGCUAGGAGGCGGGAGAGGCAAGCGGUACUCGAUGGGUAGGGGUAAAAUCCGUUGAUCCAUUGAAGACCACCAGUGGCGAAGGCGGCUUGCCAGAACGCGCUCGACGGUGAGGGAUGAAAGCUGGGGGAGCAAACCGG
rnacentral:rRNA from 1 species